UACGUAGGGUGCAAGCGUUAUCCGGAUUCACUGGGUUUAAAGGGUGCGUAGGAGGGCAUGUAAGUCAGGGGGGAAAUCUCCGAGCUUAACUUGGAAACUGCCGUUGAUACUAUCUGUCUUGAAUAUUGUGGAGGUGAGCGGAAUAUGUCAUGUAGCGGUGAAAUGCUUAGAUAUGACAUAGAACACCAAUUGCGAAGGCAGCUCGCUAGCCAUAUAUUGACUCUGAGGCACGAAAGCGUGGGGAGCAAACAGG
rnacentral:rRNA from 1 species